UUCUGUACCGUUAGAAAGUUAUACGAUUUGUGUUAUCAACGUAUGUACCUGUAAACUAUAAAGGGAAAAAUAUCAAUUAAUCUCCUAACUUUCAAAAAAUGGUCAUUUUAUACAUCAAUUUCGUAUGCGGCUGUUUAAAACAUGAAUUAAAUGUUGACUAACUUUUAAAACAUGAUUAUUCGUUGAUCAUGCCAAAAUAGACAUGUCGUUAUCAGUCAUUAACGGAACUUCUAACGUCCGUUAUCAUCCGUUAACGACUUUAUUAGUCAAGUUUUAAAUUGUGGUCAAUUUAAACAUCGACUUUAUAUGUGGCAAUUUUAAACAUGAACUAAGCGUUGACUACCAUUUAAAACAUGAGAAAUUCGUUGACCAAGCCAAAAUAAACAUGUUGUCAUCAUUCAUUAAAAGAACUUAUAACAUUCAUUAUCACUUGUUAACGACUCUAUUAGUAUCCCUAAAACGACUUUGUUUUGAGAAUAAUCAAAAGAAAAUCAGGAUUGUUUUCUAAAUGAAACCCCAGUUCCCCAAAUCUAUUUCUACAACCGCUCAAACAAGACGAACAAUCUUAUAAUGAGUCUUCAAUUUGCUUCCAUGAUUCAAUUUCAAAUUU
rnacentral:sRNA from 1 species